UACGUAGGGUGCAAGCGUUGUCCGGAAUUAUUGGGCGUAAAGAGCUCGUAGGCGGUCUGUCGCGUCGGCUGUGAAAACCCGGGGCUCAACCCCGGGCCUGCAGUCGAUACGGGCAGACUAGAGUGCGGUAGGGGAGACUGGAAUUCCUGGUGUAGCGGUGAAAUGCGCAGAUAUCAGGAGGAACACCGGUGGCGAAGGCGGGUCUCUGGGCCGUAACUGACGCUGAGGAGCGAAAAGCGUGGGGAGCGAACAGG
rnacentral:rRNA from 1 species